UGUUGGCAGCACUUUACGCCGUCAAAAUGUCAAUCAAGGCAACAGGUAUGUCAACAAUAUUGUCAUCGAGAGAUUACGUCGGCUGAAAUAUUUACACAAGAAUAGUAAAUAUUCGAAGCGUUGCGGCCGAUUUGAGUUAUUGUCUGUUAGUUACAGCGAUGAUAUGUGAGGAAUUUGAAGAAUGUCUUCGCGGGAAUUACCUGGCAAAUGCAAGAGUAACACUUCGAUUUGUCAAUGUGGUCCACGGCGAUCGGCUGGCCCUCUUGAGCGCACUUGGCGCGUCGCCCCUCUGAAACAAAACUUUCAGCAUUAAAAGCUGUUAUCACUGCUGAAAUUUCACCAAAUCUGGUGAUUUUUAUACUAGUUUAAUGAUCUGGUGAAAACUUUUGGAAAAAUUCAAAUUUUUGAUGAUUUUUUAGAAACGUAACUGUAGUUCCAGCAGAAAAUUAAUGUAUUUUAAAAUAAUUUUAAUAAAUCGAGUAUUCUCCCAAA